CAUGCAAGUAGAACGCUGAGGAUUGGURCYUGCACUAAUCCAAAGAGUUGCGAACGGGUGAGUAACGCGUAGGUAACCUACCUCAUAGCGGGGGAUAACUAUUGGAAACGAUAGCUAAUACCGCAUGACACUAGAGUACACAUGUACUUAAGUUAAAAGGAGCAAUUGCUUCACUAUGAGAUGGACCUGCGUUGUAUUAGCUAGUUGGUGAGGUAACGGCUCACCAAGGCGACGAUACAUAGCCGACCUGAGAGGGUGAUCGGCCACACUGGGACUGAGACACGGCCCAGACUCCUACGGGAGGCAGCAGUAGGGAAUCUUCGGCAAUGGACGGAAGUCUGACCGAGCAACGCCGCGUGAGUGAAGAAG
rnacentral:rRNA from 1 species